UACGGAGGGUGCAAGCGUUGUCCGGAUUUAUUGGGUUUAAAGGGUGCGUAGGCGGCUGUUUAAGUCAGCGGUGAAAGUUUUGGGCUCAACCCAGAAAUUGCCAUUGAUACUGGACAGCUUGAGUAUUGGAGGGGUACAUGGAAUUGAUGGUGUAGCGGUGAAAUGCAUAGAUACCAUCAGGAACACCGAUAGCGAAGGCAUUGUACUGGCCAAUAACUGACGCUGAUGCACGAAAGCAUGGGUAGCGAACAGG
rnacentral:rRNA from 1 species